rnacentral:rRNA from 1 species
GACGAACCGUGCGAACGUUAUUCGGAAUCACUGGGCUUAAAGCGCGUGUAGGCGGGUCAGCACGUCGGGCGCUGAAAUCCCCCGGCUCAACCGGGGAACGGGCACCGAUACGACUGGCCUGGAGGGGAGUAGGGGGACCUGGAACUUCCGGUGGAGCGGUGAAAUGCGUUGAGAUCGGAAGGAACGCCCGUGGCGAAAGCGAGGUCCUGGGCUCUUACUGACGCUGAGACGCGAAAGCCAGGGGAGCGAACGGG